CCGGAGGGUGCGCGUCUGAAAGCACCGCCCACAGCCCUGGCUCCUCCUUCCCCCUUCAGCUACUCGAGGCCCUGCGCCAGGGCAUCCUGUGCAAGUGUGCGCUGCCCGGGCUUGCUAGCGAGGAGUCUAAGUGCUGUGCACAUAAAAGCCGCCCCGCUCAGGCUGUCUACACGCGCGCCGGCUGCUCGGCUCGGGCUGCAGCUCCACGGCGCUAGCCGCCUUGAGUACUCAGUGUUUACAUCCCGUCCCCGCUCCAGGUCUACGCGGCUUGCUCCACAAGCCGGAGGAGCGUGCGGAGCAGCGGGAUGCGGGUGCCUGUGCUGAAGGUGCGGGGGGCGCGCAGCGAGGGUGCGGAGAAAAGUGGAGGGGACGGGCUCUCGAGGGGCUUUCUGCAGCUUCAGAGAGCCCCGGUCUCCUCGCAGACGUGCAGCCAACGCCACGGAGCUGUUUCUGCUCCAUCCUCGAGGAGAAAUGGGAGGAUGUCUUUGUGAAAGUUUAAUUGCAAAAUAAAUGAAAGGAUUGUAUCAGUUUUCCCACACAUGUAGGACAAUUGACAAAGAGUGCAGAGCCAAAGGAACUCAUAAUAUGGAAGAUUAGCCCUGAGCUAACAUCUGCUGCCAAUUCUCCUCUUUUUGCUGUGGAAGCCUUGCCCUGAGCUAACAUCCGUGCCCAUCUUCCUCUACUUUAUAUGUGGGACACCUACCACAGCAUGGCAUGCCAAGCAGUGCCAUGUCUGUACCUGGGAUCUGAACCAGCGAACCCCGGGCCGCUGAGGCAGAACAUGGCACCUAACCGCUGCAUCAACAGGCCAGCCCCUAUUAACUGUAAUCUUAACUGAUGAAAGCUGCUGAACUGCUAGGGAACUUGACUAAGAAAUAAUAUUAUGUCAACUAAACCUCAAUAAAAAAUUAAAAAAGAAAGAAAGAAAAAAGACAAAAAUGGAUUUUCCUUUGGAAACACAGUGACCACCCACUAAUGAAGACAGUUACACAAACGUAUUGAGUCUUUAC
rnacentral:lncRNA from 1 species